rnacentral:lncRNA from 1 species
AUGCGCGGGGUGGGCGAAGGGGUGCGCAGCCUCCGUGGGGGCGGGAGCGUGCGCGCGUGCACACGCUGCUGCUGGUGUAGCCCCGUGUGUGUGUGUGYGUGYGUGUGUGUGYGCGCACRCACGUGUUUGGUCUCUGCUGCACGUGGGGGUUGUGCCGCGUCCGGCAGCCCCGGGGUGGGGAAGGGCGGUGGGAGCUGGCUGCGCCGUGCCGGCUUCUGCCCGUCGCGUCGCGCCGGUGUGUGUGUGUCCGUCGCGCCGGUGUGUGCGCACCCGUUACUGCAGCCUGUGCACAUCUCACCACGCCGGGGUGUGUCCAUCCCACCGCACCAGCGUGUGUCCGUCGCGCCACUGUGCACCCUUUACACCAGUGUGGACCCAUCACGCCGGGGUUUGCCCAUGCCGCCACCCCAGUGGGUGCCCAUCGCACCAGUGGGUGCCCAUCACACCACAGCAUGCCCAUCAUACCACACCAGUCUGUGCCCAUCUCACCACACUACUGUGUGCCCAUCACACCAGUGCAUUCCCAUCACACCCGUGUGUGUCCAUCACAUCCCCCAGGUCAUGCCCAUCAUACCACACCAGUGUGUGCCCCAGCCACCACAGCAUCCUGUGCCCAUCUCACCACGCUACUGUGUGCCCAUCACACCAGGGCAUGCCCAUCGCACCACCCCAGUUCAUGCCCAUCCCACCAGUGGGUGCCCAUCCCACCAGGGCAUGCCCAUCGCACCACUGGGUGCCCAUCGCACCAGGGCAUGCCCAUCACACCCCACCACACCAGCACGUGCCCAUCACAUCCCCCAGGUCAUGCCCAUCCCACCAGUGGGUGCCCAUCACACCAGGGCAUGUCCAUUGCACCCCAUCACAUCCCCCAGGUCAUGCCCAUCAUACCACACCAGUGUGUGCCCCAGCCACCACAGCAUCCUGUGCCCAUCUCACCACGCUACUGCAUGCCCAUCACACCAGGGCAUGCCCAUCAUGUCUGCACACACCUAUCACACCAAGGCAUGCCCAUCACACCAGUGCAUGCCCAUCGCACCACCCCAGGUCAUGCCCAUCCCACCAGUGGGUGCCCAUCACACCAGGGCAUGCCCAUUGCACCCCACCACACCAGCACGUGCCCAUCACAUCCCCCAGGUCAUGCCCAUCACACCACUGGGUGCCCAUGAUACCACACCAGUGUGUGCCCAUGCCACCACAACAUCCUGUGCCCAUCUCACCACACCAGUGCGUGCCCAUCACACCAGUGUGUGCCCAUCACACCACACCACUGCAUGCCCAUCGCAUCACCCUAGUGCGUGCCCAUCACACCAGUGCGUGCCCGUCACACCACACUGGUACAUGCCCAUCACACAUCACUGGUGCCUGCCCGUGACACCAGUGCAUGCCCAUCGCUCCACAGCAGUGCACGUCCAUGACACCCGUGGGUGCCCAUCACCCCACACCAGUGCAUGCCCAUCACACCACGCUGGUGCGUGUGCCUGGCAAGCGUCGCCCGCGAGACAGUGA